rnacentral:pre_miRNA from 1 species
AGCUUUUCGAAUCCUUGCUGAGAUUUUGUCAGACACCAACCUAUUAAGGCUGACCAGACUUUCAAAAUCAAUGAAGUU